CGGGCGCACUGCGGCGUCGGCCAGCGCCCCCUGCUUCCAUCCCUGCGCUUGUCGCGCAGCCGACGGAGUGCUUUUCUGCCGCCCGCCUCGACCCGGCGCAGCCCCGAGCCGCCGCCGUUCCCCCCGCCCCGCCGAGGGGCGAAGGGCUGGCGCGGACGUUACCUCCACCCACUCGGCCUCGGCGCCGUGCUCGGGCGGCUUCACUUGCAGCCGGGCGGACGUGCACUGCUGUAGCAGGGCCCGCGCCAGCGCCGGCCGCGCCACGGCCGCCAUAGCGAGCCCAGCUCAGCCUGAGGAGGGCGGGGGCAGAUGUGCGCGGUGCUCGGGCCCGUCGCUGCCGCCGCGCGUCGGGUAACGCCUUUCCGGCACCGCAGGCUGCGCGGAGCGGCGGCGCUGGGGCUGGGAGCCGCGUCCCCGGGAGCCCGCCAUCGCAGGCGGAUGGAAGGGACGGGGCGGAGGCACCGUUGAGCUCUGCGGGAGGCAGCGACUUCGCGCUGUAAAUGUUUAAAAGCAGUUUGCAAGCGGUGAAGAAAGUCCUUGCUGCAAAUGCAAGAGAAAACCAGCAAAUACCUUUUGCAGAAGGUAAAACAGGCCUUGUGGUCUGUCGGUGGCUUCUAAGGAGGGGCAGGCAGCAAGGAUACAAGCUUUGGAACAGAGUGACUGAGAUGAACCCAUCAAGUUGGAGCAUUUCUCUUCAGUGAUGCUGCUUUGGAGCAGAGGGAACAGAAAAUAAUGUACUGAAAAGGGAGCUGGAGAGCGAGGGAUCAAAAUAAUGAAAAAAAGAGUAGUUCUGAAGUGAGAUCCCAAUGCUAAUGGGAAAAGUUAAAGUAUUGCAUAUACUACUUUUGUUAUCUGUCAGGUUUUUGCCUACAUACCCUGAUAGUCAUCAAACAGUUCCGAAAUUAGAAGAGUGCCUUCCUCCCAUCCAUGAAAUCUUGACAGAUACAAGUUUUGAAUAACAUUGGCUUCAGCAAAGUCAGGAUAGAGAGAUGCAGAAUUCAGUGUCUCUCUCUGAAUGAAUUUUAACACUGAAGAUUUUAUUUUUACAACUCUGUUCAAGACAAAAAAAAAAAAGGUAAUACUUCUCAUUGUGGGUGAGAAGCCAAAUUUUAUUACCUGGUCUCCAUAAAAGAGUAAGAUUACUGAAGAUGAUUAUUGCACAGGAAGGGGCAGUAUGUAGUUGUGAAUAGCCAGUGUUACACCUAGGGAUGUAUUUGGCUUCUGUCAUUUAAAAAUAACAUUCUCUCUUGCAUGAGUGUUCAGUGAGGUUGCUCUUCCUGAAGCAAACCUUUAUGGAAGGAAAGGAAACUGCACUAGGUGGUUAGCGCAUAAACUAGCUGAUUUUUGCUAGCUGUAGGGUACUGUUAAGUAUGAGCUGGUUUUAUUUAAACUCAGCUAAUUUUAUUUAAAAUACCUUCUGUUCACUUACUGUAAAGCUGUAUCCCCAGACUCAUUAGGAAGCGUUUAGUGACGUAGCAAUCCAUUUAAAAUGAGGGUUUUUUUCAUAUAUAUUUGUGAUAUAAAUUGAUUGUUAAAUGGAUUAUACUACAAUCUGAGCAAAUUAUGUAACCAGAUUAUAGAGGGAUAGUAAUGUACAAUUACGUUGAUUGUUCUUUGUUGCAGUACCGUUAUUUACACCAGGAUUUGAUGAAGAACAUUUAUUCAUGUGCAAGUUUCAACACAAAUGUGAAACAGUGUAUAGAAAAAUUAGUAUGACAUCAUUGUUUAUUUUUGGAUUCUUGGUGGAAUUAUAUUUUCUUUGGGAAGACAUUCAUUUUCUUGUAAUGCAUCUUGAAUUUCUUGAACCUUUUUGGUCCAUAGUUAGGUUAAGGGCCUCUCUUUGUAUGCCAAAGAAUGAUAGUAAAUUUGUUGGUUACAUUUUAGACAAAAGUUUGGAUUUCAUUGGUUUUUCACAAACCUCCUGACACCUAAAGAAUAUAUUCCUGCAUAAAUUAUAUUGAUAUUUUUAUCAGUUAUUUAUACAAAUAGUUUUUUCUACAUUUUGGAUUUGACAGCUGUCCCAGAAUAUUUCUUGUAUCCUCUGCUUGUUGCCACUGGAGCAGAGAGUAGGUAUUUUGAGAAUGGUAUUCAGAAGACAUUUCUGGUUACUUUCACAUCAGUUCUCUUUCAGAAGGGCAGAUGGCAGUGUGAACCACUUCUCACAGAUUUCAGUGGACAUGUGUUUUUUCCUUCCCCUUUGUGUGAAUGGUCAUGCAUAUUUCAUCUACAUUUAAUGGAAUGAAUCCUUUUGUGAAGAGGGGGAUGGGUUCUGGGAGCUCUGCCUCUGUGGGUACUUGGUUUUCCCCUGUUUUAUCAGAGGAUGAAAUGCUAGAGGUCAUUCAGUACCAAAACGAUCUCAAGUGGUCUUGAAUUCUUCCCUAGGGAUGAUUUUUAUUUUUUCUGUGUUAGUAUUAAGUUGCAGUUGCAUACUCUGGCAGGGGCAGUAGUUGACUGGAACUUUGAAUCGACAAGAUGCAUCUUGAUGCAAUUCCUUUGUCUGUGGUGUCUGAAACCAUGAUCAAAGGUAUUUGAAGCAGCUAUCACAUCAACAGUGUCAUCUGUUUUAAAGAGAAACCAUACAAAGCUGCAGUGGCACUUGGAUAGCAAAGAUACAAAAUAGGUAGCUGGUAAGGUUAUAUCUUGGUAGAACUAAGACGUAGGUAUGUCUGCUUGUGCGACAGACAUACUAAAAGUACACUUUUUAAUUUGGCCAUGGUGAAGAGAUCAUCCCUCAAAGGAAAGACUAUAGAUACACAGUAUCUCUUUUUCAAGAUGUUAAAACUGCCACAAGACAGCUCAGAAUGACAGUGUGUUUUGUUUCUGAAGUGAUGUUUAUCAUCUUACAUCCUGAACUGAGUCAAGUCCUUUGCUUUCUAUUGGAUAAUUAUAACUUUUUCUCUUUUGGUCCCAGAUUACAUAUUUUGCUUGUUUCUGAGCUACAUAGCCUACUCAUGCUAUCUGGGAUGAGCUAUCUGGUUCUUCGUAUUUUGUGAUUUUUAUUUUUUUGUAGCCUGUUUCUCCAUCUAGUUCAAGACCCAAUUAAGCUUUCUUCUUUCUACAGCCUCAGAAUUGCUAGCUGAAAUGCUGAUUAGCUGGAAGAAAGGAAGUACUGCUGAACGGCGAUGUGGAUGUAGAGAGGAUUAGGUGGUCAUGUUAGAAUCAUUUUAUUGUCUAAGUAGCAGACACUUAGACACAUUAUGAUGACUGUAUUUAGUACUGACUUCUCUCUUAUUCAAAGUGCUGUCCAGACAUUAAGGUCAGGAGCAUGUCUGCUUCCCAGCCAUCAUCCUUCUUCCUCCAGAGGUAUUUAAAAAUAAGGAAGGCAGAGAGAGGGCAUGAAGAAUUUCCGUAGUACAAGUCAAGCAGCAGAAAUGAGAUGGAAUAGCAGUCUUGUCAAUCAAAAUCCACAAGUAUUGCACAAUGCCUGUGUAAGGCUACCAGAAAUCGCUCUUUCAGAGAAGACAUGGGGUGAGGACUAGCAUCGACCUAGCCCUCCAAAGAGACCCCCAGAUCUGUUUAGCCUUCAAAAUAAGCAUUGGAGGAAGGUGACUGAGAGGAAGAGAUGGCAUUGUGAUUUUCAUCUUUCUGGUUUGCGCUAUAGCCCUGAGGAAGGUUGUGACCUCUUCAGCCCCAGUUUUGUAGCUUCCAUUGGUACACCUCUUCAGCUCUUCCAGCCGAGCCAACUUACUGUCCCCAGGAAUGUCUCAGUUGUUUCCAGUGAAGGCUGGUAUUCCUGUUGUGGAAGAGUAAUCCUGUGAUUUAAGCAGCUGAUUUUAUGCAUGUUUAAAGUAUGCAGCGAAAAUUAAAUACAUUAGUAAAAAUAGAUUAGUGUUUUGUUUAGUCCUUCAUACUGUUACAAAACAGAUACUGAAAUGUUAGAGUAAUCAAAACUUAAUUAAAUUUCUGAAUAGAGUAACAGUGUGAAAGCUGUGUUGGGUACAAUUACAGCUUUUCUAAGUGAGAAGCAGAAAUUUAACUGUUGGGGGGGAAAAAAAGGUAGCCAGGUAGAGACACACAAUCUGUUUGCUUACCAUGAUUGUCUAAAGGAACUAAGCACGCUAUUCAUCACAGUUUCUCUCUUUACAGGUGUCGGGUAUGUUCAUUUGCCUGUCAUGUUUAACUACUGUAUUUUUCCCCUGCUUGGGUGUCUCCCAUACCAAACCUUUGUCUGCAUGAUUGAAAGUCAUAAUGUUAAAAGGACUCCUGUAUCCUGCUCCAACAAAAUCAACAAAGCAGUGGGAAUAGCCUACCUACAGUAUGUACCUUAGGGUAUAAUUGUAACACCUCACACUGGUUAGAAAGCAAUACAGAAUUGAGCUAACCUAAUAAGCUUUGAUCCUGAACCUUUCUUGUGCAGAGCCAACCUUAAGUUUGAAACAACACUCUCAAUUCUGGAGUUGGGAGGGAGGUUGUACAGAGCCACCAAAAUGUCUCCAAGAGGAGUCCCUCAAAGGUCAGCAGUUUUCUAGCUCUCUUUUAAGAAUGGUACUGCCAGAUCCAGGCUGAUCCCUGCAGGCAUAUUUGUUGGCUUUGUACUUGCCUCCUUUGUCUCUUGAGUUUGGAAUCUGGGUUCUACAGAGGAGUUCUUGGAAACAAGUUGGAUGUAGGACAGUAACUGAAGCAGUGGUGAAGGAAAAAGCACCCAUGUAGGUGUAAAAGGCUAACCUUAUGGUCACAGGGCCUGGAGCAAACAGGGAGGAGUAAGAGUGCUGAAUGAGCCUGCAGCUGUGCGGGCUGUUUGCCAGCCCUGAACAAGCUCAGUCCACCCACUCAGCCAGCUUUGAUCAAUGAAUCUCAGCUUCAGGUUCUUGUUCUCCAUAUGGAGUUGUGGACUAUGCAUCUGUGCAGAGCCUGGCACUGGUCUGGCAGUGGGGUGGGUGGCGGUUGUGCUUUGCUUCGAGACACUAAGCUAACCCGUGUCUUGAGUGGUCUAUACGGGUGUUGCAAACUGAGUUCCUCCUAAUGGAGGAGGUAUUUAUACUGAACUCUGUUGUAGAGGCCCUGUAGAACACGUCCUACGUUCUUUGUGCCCUACGUUCAUGGCUGGUUUGGUGCAGACCCAAGGUGACUCCACCAAGUGUUCGUGCUGUGCUCCACAGCCCCUGGAUCAUUGUCCCUGUAUGCUGUAUACUGUCCUCUGCCCCUGCCAUGUAAAGGAAUUCAGAUCUGCUCUCCUCCGCAGGUAUUGCUGCAUCACUGCUCUCUGCACCUCAUAAACACUAAUUACUGAUAGUAAUUAGUACUACAGAGGUGUGGUUUUGUUAAUCUUUUUGUUUGUUUGUUUGUUUGUUUAAUUUUCAGUGAGAAAUUUUGGUGAUAAUGUGAGGACAUUGCUAUAGACAAAAAUAUAUCGAUAUCUUCUAGGAGCUGGAACUUGAGUUUCUAUGUUUUCAAUAGAUUUCACAUGUAAAAUUAUCAGGCUAUUGGUAUAAAGCCUCAUGUUAUCAUUAAAAAUGUACAUAGAUUGAGAUGUGGCUUUUUCUGCUCCUUUCACAACAGAAUGAAAGGUCAUUUAUUAUUCUCUAUGUACCUGGAGGACUCCUUGCCUGCAGUUACAGUUGAGUAAGCAGGCAUAAUCAGGCUGCAUGUAAUUUCUUUGCAUUUAUAUAGAUGACUUUCAAAAUAAAACUCUUGCUACAGCUUCAGGCCAAAACCUUUCUCCUUGAGCCACAGCUCUUAUCAUUUUUUUCCCCUCAGGCAUACUGAUCCUUAGCUACUCAGGAAAGCAUGCACGCAAAUGAUAGGCCAAUAGAAAAUUCUCCGAAUGGCAAACCUCUGAAGUCAUCCCAAGUGCUAUUUGCCAUGCAUCAUGAUAAAACUGGACAAGUUUGAGGAGGCACUAAUUAUAUGCUUGGUCUAUCAUUUAUCAGUUGUUGAAGCUGUUGUUCUCAGAAGACAGCAGCCUCUUUCGUGGCGCAGUUCAACAAGAUUGCCAGAGCUCAGUGAGCCAAGCAGGGUUGACAGAUUUUGGCAUUUAUUCCCUUCAAUGUAAGAACAUCCCAUUACAACACAAAUGGGUAUCUUGCUUUGCUGUAGCACUGCAUCAUAUACAGAUACAGUAAUGUCGAUCUGUGGGCUUUUCUUAAAAUUGUAUUUUGGGAACUAAUCCCCUUUAAAACAAAUGGCAACUGUAGGACUUGCAUUUACCAUCAGCCUUGAUAGUUUGUUUCAGUUAAUACAAUAGUUAAUAUAUAAUCCUUUUGUGAUUUUUAACCAACAUAAAUCGAAGGUCAUCUUGUUCCCCCUCAGGUCUUGUGAGAAAAAAGCAGAUGUUUAAUGCAGUGAGCUAAAUAAUAGAAGAUUAUAAAUUCUAAUGAAUAUUCAUGGAUUCAAAUAAGAUAAUGGACCACGUGUCAAGAAAUAAUGUGGCUUCCUGCUAUGAUUUCCAGUGUGGCUUAACAUGUUUCAAAGAGCUUCCAGUGUCAAGAAUUGCUUUGUAAUACUGAGUUUUCACACUUUCUUGAAACGCGGAUUUUUUUUUUCAUGUAUGUUUCUGAACUCAUUUGGGAUGAUAUCAUUUCUUUAUUUGAUACCUCAGAAGCACUGCAAUGAUAAAAGGAGAUUUUUCACAUAA